GAUGAACGCUAGCGGCAGGCUUAAUACAUGCAAGUCGAGGGGCAGCAUAAGUAGCAAUACUUGAUGGCGACCGGCAAACGGGUGCGGAACACGUACGCAACCUUCCUUUAAGUGGGGAAUAGCCCGGGGAAACCCGGAUUAAUACCCCGUAAUAUUAUGAUGUGGCAUCACAUUAUAAUUAUAGAUUCAUCGACUUAAAGAUGGGCGUGCGCCUGAUUAGGUAGUUGGCGGAGUAANACGCCCACCAAGCCUGCGAUCAGUAACUGGUGUGAGAGCACGACCAGUCACGACGGGCACUGAGACACGGGCCCGACUCCGUACGGGAGCAGCAGUAAGAAUAUGGUCAAUGGACNCAAGUCUGAACCAGCCAUCGCCGCGUGGAGGA
rnacentral:rRNA from 1 species